rnacentral:rRNA from 1 species
AUUGAACGCUGGCGGCAGGCCUAACACAUGCAAGUCGAACGAGUGGCGGACGGGUGAGUAAUGUCUGGGAAACUGCCUGAUGGCGGGGGAUAACUACUGGAAACGGUAGCUAAUACCGCAUACCAUCAGAUGUGCCCAGAUGGGAUUAGCUAGUGGGUGGGGUAACGGCUCACCAAGGAGACGAUCCCUAGCUGGUCUGAGAGGAUGACCAGCCACACUGGAACUGGAACACGGUCAAGACUCCUACGGGAGGCAGCAGUGGGGAAUAUUGCACAAUGGGCGCAAGCCUGAUGUAGCCAUGCCGCGUGUAUGAAGAAGGCCUUCGGUUUGUAAAGUACGUUCAGCGGGGAGGCGUUACCCGCAGAAGAAGCACCGGCUAACUCCGUGCCAGCAGCCGCGGUAAUUC